ensembl:lincRNA Gm13853 predicted gene 13853
ACAGCAGGUCUAAUUCUAGUGCAGACUGAUCAUCCUUCAGCUGCCUGACACCCAGCCUGCAGAAUACAUUCAGAAUUAAGCAGAGACCUGGGCUGUAAAGAACAUCAGGUGCUGUCUUUUCACGUUUGCCUCAGUCGAAUGUUGAUGAAUGUGUAUGGACUCUCUAGCACGCCAUAGUGGCUGGCCCCACGCGUCUGAUUCCAGUCGUCACGGCAUUGGAAUCGGAGAAGCCAGUAGUUAUUGAAGUGUUGAAGAAAACCGAUCAAUUGAAUUUCAUCGGUGUGGAAGAUUCCCCAGUUGAUUUACAAGAAACCUGGGGAUUUAGUUGACUCUCAUUUUGGCCACUCAGAUGUUUGUGCGACAAGAGAAUCUAUGAGCCAAAAGCAACUCCUCCAUCUUCCACUGGAAUGACCCCAGGAGACUGCUUUUCUCUGCAAGGUAGUCCCUAAGAACAGCAGUGAGACUUGAAGUUUUCCAAGAGCCUCUCUCAGAGUUCCCCAAGGCACUGUUCACCAGGGGUCAUUCUUCUGACUGUGUUCCGACAGAUGGCGAUGAAGUUGUGAAGAAAAA